rnacentral:rRNA from 1 species
CUUACACAUGCAAGUCGAACGAACCUUCGGGUUAGUGGCGGACGGGUGAGUAACGCGUGAGAAUCUGCCCUCAGGAGGGGGACAACAGCUGGAAACGGCUGCUAAUACCCCAUAUGCCGCGAGGUGAAAUGAAUCUCGCCUGAGGAUGAGCUCGCGUCUGAUUAGCUAGUUGGUGUAGGUAAUGGCUCACCAAGGCAUCGAUCAGUAGCUGGUCUGAGAGGAUGAUCAGCCACACUGGGACUGAGACACGGCCCAGACUCCUACGGGAGGCAGCAGUGGGGAAUUUUCCGCAAUGGGCGAAAGCCUGACGGAGCAACGCCGCGUGAGGGAUGAAGGCCUCUGGGCUGUAAACCUCUUUUAUCAAGGAAGAAGAUCUGACGGUACUUGAUGAAUAAGCCACGGCUAAUUCCGUGCCAGCAGCCGCGGUAAUACGGGAGUGGCAAGCGUUAUCCGGAAUUAUUGGGCGUAAAGCGUCCGCAGGCGGCCCUUCAAGUCUGCUGUUAAAAAGUGGAGCUUAACUCCAUCAUGGCAGUGGAAACUGUUGGGCUUGAGUGUGGUANGGGCAGAGGGAAUUCCCGGUGUA